GGGGACAUAACUCAGUUGGUAGAGUGCUUGUCUGGCAUGCUGCACAAAGGUCCUGGGUUCAAUCCCCAGCAUCACCA
rnacentral:tRNA from 1 species